rnacentral:rRNA from 1 species
GAUGAACGCUGGCGGCGUGCCUAAUACAUGCAAGUCGAGCGAACGGACGAGAAGCUUGCUUCUCUGAUGUUAGCGGCGGACGGGUGAGUAACACGUGGAUAACCUACCUAUAAGACUGGGAUAACUUCGGGAAACCGGAGCUAAUACCGGAUAAUAUUUUGAACCGCAUGGUUCAAAAGUGAAAGACGGUCUUGCUGUCACUUAUAGAUGGAUCCGCGCUGCAUUAGCUAGUUGGUAAGGUAACGGCUUACCAUGGCAACGAUGCAUAGCCGACCUGAGAGGGUGAUCGGCCACACUGGAACUGAGACACGGUCCAGACUCCUACGGGAGGCAGCAGUAGGGAAUCUUCCGCAAUGGGCGAAAGCCUGACGGAGCAACGCCGCGUGAGUGAUGAAGGUCUUCGGAUCGUAAAACUCUGUUAUUAGGGAAGAACAUAUGUGUAAGUAACUGUGCACAUCUUGACGGUACCUAAUCAGAAAGCCACGGCUAACUACGUGCCAGCAGCCGCGGUAAUACGUAGGUGGCAAGCGUUAUCCGGAAUUAUUGGGCGUAAAGCGCGCGUAGGCGGUUUUUUAAGUCUGAUGUGAAAGCCCACGGCUCAACCGUGGAGGGUCAUUGGAAACUGGAAAACUUGAGUGCAGAAGAGGAAAGUGGAAUUCCAUGUGUAGCGGUGAAAUGCGCAGAGAUAUGGAGGAACACCAGUGGCGAAGGCGACUUUCUGGUCUGUAACUGACGCUGAUGUGCGAAAGCGUGGGGAUCAAACAGGAUUAGAUACCCUGGUAGUCCACGCCGUAAACGAUGAGUGCUAAGUGUUAGGGGGUUUCCGCCCCUUAGUGCUGCAGCUAACGCAUUAAGCACUCCGCCUGGGGAGUACGACCGCAAGGUUGAAACUCAAAGGAAUUGACGGGGACCCGCACAAGCGGUGGAGCAUGUGGUUUAAUUCGAAGCAACGCGAAGAACCUUACCAAAUCUUGACAUCCUUUGACAACUCUAGAGAUAGAGCCUUCCCCUUCGGGGGACAAAGUGACAGGUGGUGCAUGGUUGUCGUCAGCUCGUGUCGUGAGAUGUUGGGUUAAGUCCCGCAACGAGCGCAACCCUUAAGCUUAGUUGCCAUCAUUAAGUUGGGCACUCUAAGUUGACUGCCGGUGACAAACCGGAGGAAGGUGGGGAUGACGUCAAAUCAUCAUGCCCCUUAUGAUUUGGGCUACACACGUGCUACAAUGGACAAUACAAAGGGCAGCGAAACCGCGAGGUCAAGCAAAUCCCAUAAAGUUGUUCUCAGUUCGGAUUGUAGUCUGCAACUCGACUACAUGAAGCUGGAAUCGCUAGUAAUCGUAGAUCAGCAUGCUACGGUGAAUACGUUCCCGGGUCU